rnacentral:lncRNA from 1 species
GUUAGUGUACCUUUUUCUUUUAAUUUUUAUGUUUUUGAAAUCCCGGUAUUAAAUACUACACGAUCCAUGUCAAAAUUUUAGAAAUUAUUAAGUUUUUAAAUGUUUUUAGUGUUGAAUAAUUUUAGUAUUAGGGAUUAAAUUGAUAGGUUUUUAAGUUACAAGUGAAAAAAGAAUUGAAUUGUAAAUGUACAAGCCCAAAUUUACCCGAGGCCCAAAACCCACACAACAAAGCCCAAAACCCAUUACAGAGCCCAGAACCUAAAACCUUUUUUACAAUUAAGCCCCAAACCCGAACAGCCCAACAGACUCAGGCCCAAAUACCAAAUUCAGACUAGGGUUUCAGUCUCUGAAACCCUAGCGCCGCAUAUGCUGACUAUAGGGCCUUUGCCGCCGCCACCAGUCGCAUCACUAGCUGCCACCACCGUGGAACCUGCCCACCGCCAUGCCCACUUGCGCCGUCACCUGCAAAGAAGAAACAAAACAAGAAAACAGAGCAAAGAACAAAGGGGAGCACUCAGCUAUAAAAACGAAAAAGAUUGCAUUUUUAGGGGGGCUUUUUUUUUUUCCUUCUCUUCUUUUUUUUAUCUUUGUAUCAAAAAAUAUAUAUCAUCAACAAGAAAUAAAAAUCAAGCUUUAAGGUGAUUUUUUAGAUUCGAUUUCAAUCUCUCUUUUUACCUUUUUUGUUGUUUUUAUUUUUUAUUUCUUAUUUCUUUAACGAAAAUAUAAAGGAGAAAAAGAGAAACUCACCGGAGGGGCUUUAAAAGCCCAUUAUCGCACUUCGUCGGCCGUCGAUCUGGUGGCGGUGCGGCAGAUAUGCGAACGGCGGUGGGAGGCCGAUCGUUGAGAAGGCUUUGAAAGCUUUCUGUUUUCUUUUUUCUGUAAAGGGGAAGAAAAUUUAAAAAAAAAGUUAAAAACUAGGUUUAAGUGGAGGAAAUAAAAC